AUAACACACCGAAAGGUGUACUAAUACCGCAUAAGACCACGGGAUCACAUGGUUCUGAGGUAAAAGAUUUAUCGGUUUGGGGUGGGCUCGCGUCCGAUUAGGUAGUUGGUGAGGUAACGGCCCACCAAGCCGACGAUCGGUAGCCGACCUGAGAGGGUGAUCGGCCACAUUGGGACUGAGACACGGCCCAAACUCCUACGGGAGGCAGCAGUGGGGAAUAUUGGGCAAUGGAGGAAACUCUGACCCAGCAACGCCGCGUGGAGGAAGAAGGUUUUCGGAUCGUAAACUCCUGUCCUUGGAGACGAGUAGAAGACGGUAUCCAAGGAGGAAGCCCCGGCUAACUACGUGCCAGCAGCCGCGGUAAUACGUAGGGGGCAAGCGUUGUCCGGAAUAAUUGGGCGUAAAGGGCGCGUAGGCGGCUCGGUAAGUCUGGAGUGAAAGUCCUGCUUUUAAGGUGGGAAUUGCUUUGGAUACUGUCGGGCUUGAGUGCAGGAGAGGUUAGUGGAAUUCCCAGUGUAGCGGUGAAAUGCGUAGAGAUUGGGAGGAACACCAGUGGCGAAGGCGACUAACUGGACUGUAACUGACGCUGAGGCGCGAAAGUGUGGGGAGCAAACAGGAUUAGAUACCCUGGUAGUCCACACUGUAAAC
rnacentral:rRNA from 1 species